GGGGUUAUGUUGAUUGGCAAGCUCUUGAUCAGGGCAGCAUGGCCCUGCUGCUGCCCAUAGUUAGGUGAGGACUGCACAGCUUGGGUUGGGUCUUCUCAGUCCCUAGGUCCAUCACCCUUGGCACAAGAACCAAAGGUCCAUCUAGGGAUGCUUCAGACGAAUGCCAGCCUCUACAUGUGAGGAGGACAAGGUCACAUCAAGAGCGCCCUCACCCUGAUGUCAUUGGAAGACUUCCUGUUGCACUGUCAUGGCAUCCCUUAGUCAUAUACAACCUUUUUUUAAAAUAAAGGGCUCUGGAACACA